AGAGAGAGAGAGAGAGAAGAGAAUGGGGAGUUGGGGAGGGAAUGGGUGGUGGGGUCAUGCGAGGACACUUAUUUUUGAAUUAAUAUAGUUAUAUGUCCAUCAAUGUGUCAAAUAAUGGCCAACUUCAUAUUAAUUUAAUCCUUGUUGGUGCUUCUAGUCAUUGGUAAUGUGGAAGGCACUUGACUAUAAAUCUGCCCAAAACAAAAUGCACAUACUUUUAUAUGAGUUAUGUUAAUUUAUUUUAGGUUUAGGAUUAAGCAGGAGCAAAGACUUCUUGGUGUUAUUUGCUGUUUGUCUAAAGUGGUGUGAUUAGUUUGAGCUAAGGCAAGAAUUUUACGGAAAAUCAAUUAUCAUCAAAUUUAUCUGGGAUGUGAUUUCUUUUUGGGUACUUGAGAAAGUAAAAAUGGGAUAAGAUUUUGUAUUAGGUGUCAUUAUGAUAUUUUCUGAUGUCAAGAUGAAAUAACUCUUUUGGAAUGUUGUAGGAAAGAUGUCACAGGAAAUGCUUUCUUCUU
rnacentral:misc_RNA from 1 species